rnacentral:lncRNA from 1 species
GCGUAGCGGUCUGGUUGGUGUGUAGCGGUUGACCAGUCUAGUAGUAGAUAGCUGGGAGCAGUUCUAUUGAUGCGUUUGUAGCCUAGGUUAUAACCAGGGACUGAACCAGGCUAUUAUUAAAAAUAUUGCAGUUGAAAUUACGUACAACGGUACUCGCACCAUUUUAUAUUUCAAGAGGUAUUAUGCUGAUCAAACCGACAUACUUCGGUUCUUCCUAAAUUCAGAUUUAUCGGAAGUUUGUCGAUACAAAAAGCGAAGGACGAGCGCCACCUGAUGCGAGUGUUCGUAAUUACAACGUGUACUAUGUGAAUGUACAGGGCUGCAGCCAAUCAGAGCGGCACUACAGAAUCUGUAAACAACACAACUUGCGCGACUUCGGAAGGCGCUGGAGCGCGAGGGUGUCGGGAUGUGCGCGCGGUCCUCACCACUGCUCACAGGGUAUACAUUGUGCCUUUGGACCCAAAGAUUGCAGGUUUGGAUCUCACCUGUGGCUGUAGUACCCAUAAGCAAGGUACUUACCCUAAAUUGCUCCGGUAAAAUUAUUCAGCUG